CCGGGGAAUUUUUUUUUAGUCUUAGGAUCUAAAGGAAUCAAAAGUCCAAACUGUUGAGGUGGCUUUUAAAAGGUGUCUCUCUGUCUUUAAAGAGGACAUAUCAUCCCCCUCCUCCACCUUUUCAAACAUCCCCCUGUGGUCUAAAUGAAACAUCUGUGCUGUGCUUUGGUCAAAAUAUAACAUGAAUCAAGCACCAGAGGAGGUUUGUGACCCUGUAUAAACCAGCUCUCUCAGAACGCUCUGUUUUGGUGUGUGUGUCUCUUUAAAUGCAAUAAGCCCCGCCCCCUGAGUUUUCCCAGUAGACAUCACUCCUCUGUAGUGAGAAUAAAAAUGGCGGACCUGCUCAAAAGUUUUGUUCUAGUCUGGGGGUGGAGUCCAUGGGUGGAGAUACCAGGGGAGGGGAGGGGAUUUUAUUUUACCAGAAUCCCACUGUGACAUCACAAGGAGAGCACAUUUGAAACAGAGCAUUUUUCUCUGUGUUGUAAGACUUAUGCAGACCACAAACAAAGGACUGGAUGGGUUUAUUUCACAUGUUGUGGGUCAGUAGACUCUCAGGUUACACAGAUAUAUGUUCAGAAACACU